GAUGAACGCUAGCGGCAGGCCUAAUACAUGCAAGCUGAACGGUAAAUAUUGUAGCAAUACGAUAUGAGAGUAGCGUAAGGGUGCGUAACACGUAUGCAAUCUGCCCGCAACAGGAGGAUAGCUCCCCGAAAGGGGAAUUAAUACUCCAUAAUAUCACGAGAGGGCAUCUGAUUGUGAUUAAACUCCAAGGGGUUGCGGAUGAGCAUGCGUCUGAUUAGUUAGUUGGUGAGGUAACGGCGCACCAAGACGAUGAGCAGUAGGGGAACUGAGAGGUUGAUCCCCCGCACUGGCACGGAGAUACGGGCCAGACUCCUACGGGAGGCAGCAGUAGGGAAUAUUGGUCAAUGGGUGAAAGCCUGAACCAGCCAUGCCGCGUGCAGGAAGACGGCCUUCUGGGUUGUAAACUGCUUUUGCCAGGGGAUAAAAUACCCAUGCGUGGGGAAUUGAAGGUACCUGGUGAAUAAGCCACGGCUAACUACGUGCCAGCAGCCGCAGUAACAC
rnacentral:rRNA from 1 species